rnacentral:RNase_P_RNA from 1 species
CAGGCUGGUUGGGCAGUCGCGGUCCUGCGUUGUCGGGAUCGAGGAAAGUCCGCACUCCAUAGAGCACGACGUCGGAUAGCACCCGGGGCGGGGUGAACCCGCCGGAAAAGGGCCACAGAAACAAACAGCCCUUCCAUCCUUUUGGGUGAAGGGUGAUGGUGAAAAGGUGGUGUAAGAGACCACCGGCAUCUGCCGUAAUGCAGGUGGCCAGGUAACCCCCGUCAGGAGCAAGGCCAAGCAGGGGCGAAAUCGUCUGUGGACGAUGGGAGACUGCUCGUCUCCGCACGCGCCCUUCCCUCCUGUGGGAAGGGCCAGCCCCGGGUAGGCUGCAUCGAGCGGCGCGGCGACGCACCGCCCAGAGAGAUGACUGCACAGGCGCUUCGGCGCCGGACAGAAUGCGGCUUAUAGACCAGCCUGAGUU